AGAUGGAGUUUUGCCCUUGUUGGCCAGGCUGGAGUGCAGUGGCACGAUCUCGGCUCACCAUAACCUCUGCUUCCCGGGUUCAAGUGAUUCUCCUGCCUCAGCGUCCCAAGUAGCUGGGAUUACAGAAUCUCACUCUGUUGCCCAGGCUGGAGUGCAUUGGUGUGAUCUCGGCUCAGUGCAACCUUUGCAGAGACAUGGAUGUAGCUGGAAGCCAUUAUCCUCAGCAAACUAACACAGGAACAAAAAACCAAACACCACGUGUUCUCACUAAUAUGUGGGAGAUGAAUGAUGAGAACACAUGGACACAGGGAGGGGAACAACACACACCAAGGCCUGUUGAGAGUGUAGUGGGAGGAAAAGCAUCAGGAUAAAUAGCUAAUACAUGUGGGGCUUAAUACCUAGGUGAUGGAUUGAUAGGUGCAGCAAACCACCAUGGCACAUGUUUACCUAUGUAACAAAACUGCACAUCCUGCAUAUGUAUUCCCAAACUUCAAAUAAAAUAAAAUAAUAAAA